AUGCAAGUCGUACGAGAUGGCCCAUUGAAGUUUGAGUGCUUGCACAAUUUCUGAUUUGGAUUUUCCAUCUAGUGGCGGACGGGUGAGUAACACGUGGGUGACCUACCUUUGAGUUUGGGAUAACUACUGGAAACGGUAGCUAAUACCGAAUGAUAUACAGUUUCGUUUCUGUAUUAAAAGGCGCUUCAAAGCGUCGCUUAAAGAUGGGCCUGCGGCGUAUUAGCUAGUUGGUGGGGUAAUGGCCUACCAAGGCGACGAUGCGUAGCCGGACUGAGAGGUUGAACGGCCACAUUGGGACUGAGACACGGCCCAAACUCCUACGGGAGACAGCAGUUAGGAAUAUUCGUCAAUGGGGGAAACCCUGAACGAGCAAUGCCGCGUGAGUGAUGAAGGUCCUUUGGAUUGUAAAACUCUGUUGUAUGGGAAGAAUGGCCAAACUAGGAAAUGAGUUUGGAGUGACGGUACCAUGCCAGAAAGCUCCGGCUAACUACGUGCCAGCAGCCGCGGUAAUACGUAGGGAGCGAGCGUUAUCCGGAUUUAUUGGGCGUAAAGGGUGCGUAGGCGGCUUGUUAAGUAUGAAAUUAAAGCCCGGGGCUUAACUCCGGUUCGUUUCAUAAACUGGCUUGCUUGAGUAUGGAAGAGGUAAACGGAAUUUCUAGUGUAGCGGUGGAAUGCGUAGAUAUUAGAAGGAACACCAGUGGCGAAGGCGGUUUACUGGGCCAUUACUGACGCUGAGGCACGAAAGCGUGGGGAGCAAAUAGGAUUAGAUACCCUAGUAGUCCACGCCGUAAACGAUGAGUAGUAAGUGUUGGGGUUUCCCAGUGCUGAAGUUAACAUAUUAAGUACUCCGCCUGAGUAGUACGGUCGCAAGGCUGCAACGCAAAGGAAUUGACGGA
rnacentral:rRNA from 1 species